CCCCCGGCAAAUCUGUGCGUGGCUCUGCGGUGCGCGGGAGGAGGCGAUCCGGGGAAGUUUGCAGCGGGGAGUGACUUGAGGAGGGAUAGAUACACACAUAAAUAGACGGGGGCCGGAGGGAAGGAGGCAGCGGCAGCCGGCGGUACCCAAAAGGGAGACACGCGCGCCGCGCGCACACACACACACACGCGGAAAGUUGCUGGGAGAAGUUUCCCUCCUGCGAGGAAAAGGCGGUCGCCCCCCCCCCCGCCCCCCCCUCCCUCCCUAAGUCCAAAGACAAUCCAUGGAUGUGAUCGGCCCCUUCACGAGUUGUGCAAACGAUUUGUUAGUUCAUGAGCCUAAUUAGUGCUGGGAUCACAUAAACAGCUUCCUCUGAAGCCUGGUAAAUGGCUUGAUGAUUGGUCGCUAUUACUCGCCUCGAGGUUGAAGGGGGAGACUCUUUAAAGUGCGUCAGAGGGGAGGCGAAGCGCCGGGCAGCGCCAUCGGGAGGGAUGGAGCCGCGGAUCGGAGUGCGCCGGGAGGGGGGAGCGCGCACAUCCGCGCAGCCGCGCCCCGGACCGCCUCUGCGCAGCGCCGACAGCCGCCGACAGAGUGUGAAGGCCCAUCUGUGCUUUCUGCUGCAAGCUACAAAACCAGAAGUUUCCUUGUCCUGGAAAGGGUGAUUUUUAUCCAAGAUCUUAAAAGAGGAGUGAGCCACGUGACUGUAGGGAUGCAGUCCAACCGACUCAUGAGGGGCUCAGCAGAGGGAGAUGAGGCACGUGGUAGGUAGUGUCUCAGUCCUGUGGUGAUGGAGAGCUUCCCAUGGGAUCGCAUCAGCGCUGAUGCUAUUGGUGAGUGAAUGCAGUUGGAUGAGUCACAGCUUGUAAGGGAGAUCCAGAUCCUUGCAGUUACCCAUCUCCAUCAGUCCUAAAGCCUUGGAGCAGUGUAGGCUAUCACGUCCAUCGAUUUCAGAGGGGCUGAACACCAUAACAUGUCUCCCUAUGGAUUUCUGAGCAGAUGUCUUGAAUGCCAACCUCUGAAAAACAAAAUGGGCGACUUUAAGAUAACCCAGAAAAGAGGAAAAGGGGACAAUAUGAGGUCAUCAAGAACAAAUAACCACACAGAGCACUAGGCUUGCCCAGGUAUACAGCUCACUGAAGCCAAUGAAAAGAUCCUUCACGGUUUCAGCAGAUCAGACCCAGACUUUUUGGCUGAGCAGGCUGGAGUUCUGCCUGCCUCCUGCCUCCUCCCAGGGUGAGUGAAAAGCAGCCCAGAGACAAUAAGGCAAACCCGCCCUUUGAUUUAAGCAAGGCUUGGCCA
rnacentral:lncRNA from 1 species